rnacentral:rRNA from 1 species
GAAUUUUCCGCAAUGGGCGAAAGCCUGACGGAGCAAUACCGCGUGAGGGAUGACGGCCUAUGGGUUGUAAACCUCUUUUUUCAGGGAGGAAUCAAUGACGUGUACCUGAAGAAUAAGCAUCGGCUAACUCCGUGCCAGCAGCCGCGGUAAGACGGAGGAUGCAAGUGUUAUCCGGAAUCACUGGGCGUGAAGCGUCUGUAGGUGGUCAAAUAAGUCAACUGUUAAAUCUUGAGGCUCAACCUCAAAAUCGCAGUCGAAACUAUUAGACUAGAGUAUAGUAGGGGUAAAGGGAAUUUCCAGUGGAGCGGUGAAAUGCGUAGAGAUUGGAAAGAACACCGAUGGCGAAGGCACUUUACUGGGCUAUUACUAACACUGAGAGACGAAAGCUAGGGUAGCAAAUGGGAUUAGAUACCCCAGUAGUC